GAAAGAGAGAGCAAGAGAGUGAGAGAGAGAUCAAAGACAAAGGGUUGAGAGUUAUCAGAUGAUCACGUGUUGAUUGAACUGUCAGAGGGCAUACCAUCUCACUACUUUACCUUCUGAAGAGGCUUCUCCAGUGCCCAGCCGGGUAUAAAGUACCCACCUGAGGGGAGGUGAGAAAGGCAGUGGAGCCGCCUGUCACGAUGAGGAAGAAUCCGAGGAAGAUGGCUGCUUGGUGGAGGGAAGGCAUCGCUCUGGGACCCCCGGGGACGGUGUGUGUUAGUCUCUGUGGUGUAGGGAAGGCAUCUCCCUCUCCAUGGGACCACCGGGGAUGGCAAAUAUUAGUCUUCCCAGUGGAGUAACCCCCUGGUAAAUAACCCUAACCCCCGUUAGGCGUGCUCUGUCCCGGUCAGUUCCAUAAGACCAGGUCCAAUUCCAAGUGUGCUUCCGUGUGGGUUAUUUUGGAUUCAAGAAGCAAUGAGAUGAUGAAUGGAGCUGAAGUUAAAGGAGAGUUAAAGUUUAAAAACAUAGUCCCAUUACCUCCAGGUAGUAAGACAAAUAAAAUGGGUGAAAUGUU